CUGGGAGGGAAUGGGUAGGGACAAAAGAUGUGGUAUAGGCUACUUUCGCAAAGAGUGAGCAAUAGGCCAAAGUCACUGGUUGCUUUCUGCCAGCCAGGUGGCUGAAAUGUCUGGCACAUGCAAAGAUCCUGAGGUGACUGAAGACCUUGCAGAUGUUGCAUGUUGUGAGACUGCAGGAGGUACAGAGGCGUGCACCACCACACCUAGCUUCCUGGAGCAUUUGGUCCAGAGAGCGACACAGUGACAGCCCAGCACACAGGCUGUCCCCUGCAGGCCAGCCCCGGAGGCAGCAUGGCUUUAUCACAGACCAUUUUUUCUCAAUGUGUAAAAUGAUUUCCAAACACACCAGAUCCUGAUGAUUUCAAAGGGAGUUUAACUACUUUCAGG
rnacentral:lncRNA from 1 species